GUGGGGAAUUUUGGACAAUGGGCGCAAGCCUGAUCCAGCAAUGCCGCGUGCAGGAAGAAGGCCUUCGGGUUGUAAACUGCUUUUGUACGGAACGAAACGGUCCUGGCUAAUAUCCGGGGCUAAUGACGGUACCGUAAGAAUAAGCACCGGCUAACUACGUGCCAGCAGCCGCGGUAAUACGUAGGGUGCGAGCGUUAAUCGGAAUUACUGGGCGUAAAGCGUGCGCAGGCGGUGCUGUAAGACAGGCGUGACAUCCCCGGGCUCAACCUGGGAAUUGCGCUUGUGGCGGCAGUGCUGGAGUGCGGCAGCGGGGGAUGGAAUUCCGCGUGUAGCAGUGAAAGGCGUAGAUAUGCGGAGGAACACCGAUGGCGAAGGCAAUCCCCUGGGCCUGCACUGACGCUCAUGCACGAAAGCGUGGGGAGCAAACAGGAUUAGAUACCCGAGUAGUCC
rnacentral:rRNA from 1 species